NNNNNNNNNNNNNNNNNNNNNNNNNNNNNNNNNNNNNNNNNNNNNNNNNNNNNNNNNNNNNNNCAUGGUGCAUAGCGCAUGGAGCAUGGAGCAGACUCGGCCCCGGCUGUAGCCCGGCCGCCUGUCAGCGCUGGCGGUGCAGGAUGGCACUCCCUGUGCAAGCCCUGGCUUGGCAACUUGUCUCCUUCAAGCAGAGCCGCAGCCCAGGAGAAUGGCGCUUGGUUUCACCCUCUCUUCCCCAUCAGUGGCUUCUUCCCGAAGGCAGUUGAGGGAUCGCCUGGAGGGCUGUGCCGAAGGUUGGCCUGCGGCCAGUGGGGAAAGGCCGGACUGCAGGACACGGCUCCCCUUCUGCUCUUAAUGACUCUUAGGCUGAGUCACUGGUUUCUUCAAACCUCUCAGCUCCUCUUUCCUGUCCAGCUCCCCCUUCCCAAGGGGAGGGCAGAGCCUCAGUCCAGCCCGGAAACCCCCUCUCUGCCGGGAGCUGCCUCCGACGGGGAAUGCCGCCGGCACGAGCCGGCAAAGCCAUGGUCUGGGGCCACGGGAAGCCCCGAGCCUCCGCGAUGGGGGCUCCUCCGACCCCCCCCCCCGCCAGAUCACAGCAGAGCCCGGAAAGGCCGUUUCCUCCAGCUGCUGCCGGCCCUUGGAGCAGCGCUGCUGGCGCGGGAUGGGAAGGACAGCAGCACUGCGCGGGGCCUCAGGAUCCCCGCGACCGUGGUGGCGCAUGGAUCCAUCCUGAAACCUGCUGCUCCCGAUCAGGCACCRGGGCUGGGAAAGUCACCAGCGCCUCCGCUGUCACCUCCUCGUGCUCCGCGGAGAAAGGCAUCAUCCCCCGGGGGUGGGCUGAGCCCGGCCUCCCCCCUUCCCUCCGUGCUGCCGCCCAGCACAGGCGCGGGAGCGGGAGCGGGUGGCUCCGGGGCGCGGGAGCACCGCCGUGCCGAGCCCCCAGCGCCGCCGCGGCCCCGCUGGACGCCUGCAGCGGCCCUGGGGCUGCUCUGCCUUACGCGGGGGCGGCAGACCGUGCCCAGCCCUGCGCGCCGCGGCCCCGGGUCCCCCCGGCGCCCAUCGCCCGCUCUGCAGCGUCUCUUUUUGCAGAGGGGGGAGCGAGGGGAAAAUCCAGGCGCGGGAAUCAGCGCGGGGCUGGAGUCACGCUCCGCCGUCCGUGCCUGGGGGAGCAGGGAAUCGCGCUCGCCGGCUCCCAGCUCGGCCCGUGAAUCGAAGCUUUGAUGCUCCCCAGCUGCGGCCCCGGGGACGGCGCGCRGGCGGCACGGCACGGCUGGCCCCGGUCCUGGCUGGCGGCUGCGUCACCAGCUGGGGACACGGCUGGGUCCCCCGUCCGCCGAGCCUGCAGGAGACCCUGCACCUCCGCUGGCAGCYCCGCUCCGGCCAUGCUUCCCGGCGGAUCCCAGCACGGUCGGCCUCAGCACGGCUGCACCAGUUUGCACCAGUCAUGGAUCCCAUUCCAGCACAACGCGAGACCCYGGCUCCCGCCGGCUCCCUCCGCUCCGGCCGGACCUGGCCGCGCUGCCGGGAGUCGAUAGGCCCUUGCAGGCUGCAGCUCUGCGUUGUGUUUGGGGGGAAAAAACAAUAAUCCU
ensembl:lncRNA